rnacentral:rRNA from 1 species
UACGGGGGGGGUAAGCGUUGUUCGGAAUUACUGGGCGUAAAGCGCACGCAGGUGGCUGAGUCAGUCGAUUGUGAAAGCCCUGGGCUUAACCUGGGAAUUGCAGUCGAUACUACUCAGCUAGAGUAUGGGAGAGGGUAGUGGAAUUCCCGGUGUAGCGGUGAAAUGCGUAGAUAUCGGGAGGAACAUCAGUGGCGAAGGCGGCUACCUGGCCCAAUACUGACACUCAGGUGCGACAGCGUGGGGAGCAAACAGG